rnacentral:lncRNA from 1 species
CUCAGAUUCAGCAGCAGGAAAACUGAAUCCCACCUGCUCUCCCAAGGGAUGAAUCUGUCUCUAGUGCACCUGCUUAUUCUGCCACAAGGAGAGAUGUGAUCUGGCUGGUAUUACAAGAGGCUUCUGCCAUUUUUCCCGACACUGAAGAGAGAAGCCUUGCGCUAUGCUGUGGAGGACAACGAACUGUUGACCACCAAAUGAUGGGAGAGCAAUGCUUGAUGCUGAGAAGGCCCUGCUGGAAAUGCCCACUGGGAGAAAAUGCUCAGCAAAGCAGGAGGUCCAGCCAAGCACGAGAGUCCCCGACUCCCACUAGCGCUGGAGGGGGCCGCGAGGAGCACCUACCGCAAGCGCGAGAAAGCAUCUGGAGGCUUCAGAAAGGCAACACCUGAGAGAGGUCAUCUUAACAUGUAAUAGAGUUUUCUAGUGCCAGAAUUGUGUGCUUUUCUGAAAGUAAGAAUUUUAACCUGUUGAAAAGAGGAUAUAUAAAGGGAGACAUUUAGUCUUGAUGGAAUAUGCUUUAGACUUUUUAUUAUUAUUACUUUUUGCACUGAAGUGUCUCAUUGUGUCUCAUGAGAAUCACCAUUAGUCAUUUUAACGUGCUUUCUGUUAAAUUCAAAGAUUAGCAGAGUGGUUUUAAUGAAAUUCAGAUAAACCCAGUAUGAAUACUGGGAUACAAGACAACUAUUUUGUGCACAAAUCAAGAACAAAAAAAAACCCCAAAGCCCACCUGAAGAUCUCACAAAGAUAAUGCUGAAGAAAUUAAAAAAAAAAAAAAAGAUAAAAGAAUGAACACAGAUAUUACUACCUUGAAUUUUGUGAAAUGUGUUAUAUGACAUUUGGCCAUAAUCACAAUUAGCAAUGCUCUUAGGGCUGUAUGUGCAAAUCUGAAUGUGUGAAUUUGAGAGUAAUAGUGGCUGUAUAAAUUAAUUUUCUUGUGAAGAUCUGAUUGCUCCACAUAUUAUAGUCUGUCUACAUCCUACAUUCUCAUCAAGUGUUGCCGAUUAGUUCUCAGAAUGUAAUUGAAGAAUGAAAAUAGAAGAGCAAAAUGUCUGAUUUAUAGACUGAAUUGGUUAUGCCCAGUGAUUUCUGUG